rnacentral:rRNA from 1 species
AUACGGAGGGUGCGAGCGUUAGUCGGAAUUACUGGGCGUAAAGCGUGCGUAGGCGGUUUGCUAAGUCAGAUGUGAAAGCCCCGGGCUUAACCUGGGAACUGCAUUUGAUACUGGCAGACUAGAGUAUGAUAGAGGGGGGUAGAAUUCCUGGUGUAGCGGUGAAAUGCGUAGAUAUCAGGAGGAAUACCAGUGGCGAAGGCGGCCCCCUGGAUCAAUACUGACGCUGAGGUACGAAAGCGUGGGGAGCGAACAGGAUUAGAUACCCUAGUAGUCC